GAUGAACGCUGGCGGCGUGCCUAAUACAUGCAAGUCGAGCGAACAGACGAGGAGCUUGCUCCUCUGACGUUAGCGGCGGACGGGUGAGUAACACGUGGAUAACCUACCUAUAAGACUGGGAUAACUUCGGGAAACCGGAGCUAAUACCGGAUAAUAUAUUGAACCACAUGGUUCAAUAGUGAAAGACGGUUUUGCUGUCACUUAUAGAUGGAUCCGCGCCGCAUUAGCUAGUUGGUAAGGUAACGGCUUACCAAGGCAACGAUGCGUAGCCGACCUGAGAGGGUGAUCGGCCACACUGGAACUGAGACACGGUCCAGACUCCUACGGGAGGCAGCAGUAGGGAAUCUUCCGCAAUGGGCGAAAGCCUGACGGAGCAACGCCGCGUGAGUGAUGAAGGUCUUCGGAUCGUAAAACUCUGUUAUUAGGGAAGAACAAAUGUGUAAGUAACUAUGCACGUCUUGACGGUACCUAAUCAGAAAGCCACGGCAAACUACGU
rnacentral:rRNA from 1 species